rnacentral:ncRNA from 1 species
UCGGCCCCGGUUCACGUACAGGCAAGCCCGCCUCGUACGACCCGGCGCC